AGAGGUCAGCCUGCCCAGUGACUAAGUUAAACGGCCGCGGUACCCUAACCGUGCAAAGGUAGCGCAAUCACUUGUUCUUUAAAUGAGGACUAGUAUGAACGGCAUCACGAGGGUUAUGCUGUCUCCCUACUCUACUCAGUGAAACUGAUCCCCCCGUGAAGAAGCGGGGAUAAAGAUAUAAGACGAGAAGACCCCAUGGAGCUUUAAACUCAGUACCAACUGCCCUAAUAAUAACCUAUUACCUUUGCAGCCAUGGUUACUAGUUUUCGGUUGGGGUGACCACGGAGUAAAAUUUAACCUCCACGAUGAAAGGAACUAAUAUCCUAACCUAUGAGCUACAGCUCUAAGUAUCAACAAAUUGACUAAUUGACCCAAUUACUUGAUCAACGAACCAAGUUACCCUGGGGAUAACAGCGCAAUCCAUUUCAAGAGCUCAUAUCGACAAAUGGGUUUACGACCUCGAUGUUGGAUCAGGGUAUCCCAGUGGCGCAGCCGCUACUAAUGGUUCGUUUGUUCAACGAUUAAAACCCUACGUGAUCUGAGUUCAGCCCGG
rnacentral:rRNA from 1 species